rnacentral:tRNA from 1 species
GCCCAAGUGGCUCAGUCCAUAGAGCAUGCAACUCUUGAUCUCAGUGUUGUGAGUUCAAGCCCCACAUUGGGCA